UACAGAGGCCCCGAGCGUUAGUCGGAAUCACUGGGCUUAAAGGGUGCGUAGGCGGCUGGAUAAGUGUCGUGUGAAAUCCCACUGCUCAACGGUGGAACUGCACGGCAAACUGUCUAGCUAGAAGUAUGUAGAGGUCGCUAGAACGAAUGGUGGAGCGGUGGAAUGCGUAGAUAUCAUUCGGAAUGCCAAAGGUGAAGACAGGCGACUGGGCAUUACUUGACGCUGAGGCACGAAAGCGUGGGGAGCAAACAGG
rnacentral:rRNA from 1 species